rnacentral:rRNA from 1 species
ACUCCUACGGGAGGCAGCAGUGGGGAAUAUUGCACAAUGGGCGCAAGCCUGAUGCAGCCAUGCCGCGUGUAUGAAGAAGGCCUUCGGGUUGUAAAGUACUUUCAGCAGUGAGGAAGGUGGGUAUGUUAAUAGCAUACUCAUUUGACGUUAGCUGCAGAAGAAGCACCGGCUAACUCCGUGCCAGCAGCCGCGGUAAUACGGAGGGUGCGAGCGUUAAUCGGAAUUACUGGGCGUAAAGCGCAUGCAGGUGGUUUGUUAAGUCAGAUGUGAAAGCCCGGGGCUCAACCUCGGAAUUGACAUUUGAAACUGGCAAACUAGAGUACUGUANAGGGGGGUAGAAUUUCAGGUGUAGCGGUGAAAUGCGUAGAGAUCUGAAGGAAUACCGGUAGGCGAAAGGCGGCCCCCUGGACAGAUACUGACACUCAGAUGCGAAAGCGUGGGAGCAAACAGGAUUAGAUACCCUGGUAGGCUCU